rnacentral:rRNA from 1 species
GACGAACGCUGGCGGCGUGCUUAACACAUGCAAGUCGAACGAAGAGCGAUGGAAGCUUGCUUCUAUCAAUCUUAGCGGCGAACGGGUGAGUAACGCGUAAUCAACCUGCCCUUCAGAGGGGGACAACAGUUGGAAACGACUGCUAAUACCGCAUACGAUCUAAUCUCGGCAUCGAGGAUAGAUGAAAGGUGGCCUCUACAUGUAAGCUAUCACUGAAGGAGGGGAUUGCGUCUGAUUAGCUAGUUGGAGGGGUAACGGCCCACCAAGGCGAUGAUCAGUAGCCGGUCUGAGAGGAUGAACGGCCACAUUGGGACUGAGACACGGCCCAGACUCCUACGGGAGGCAGCAGUGGGGAAUCUUCCGCAAUGGACGAAAGUCUGACGGAGCAACGCCGCGUGAGCGAUGACGGCCUUCGGGUUGUAAAGCUCUGUUAAUCGGGACGAAAGGCCUUCUUGCGAAUAGUGAGAAGGAUUGACGGUACCGGAAUAGAAAGCCACGGCUAACUACGUG